rnacentral:rRNA from 1 species
GACGAACGCUGGCGGCGUGCCUAAUACAUGCAAGUAGAACGCUGAAGAGAGGAGCUUGCUCUUCUUGGAUGAGUUGCGAACGGGUGAGUAACGCGUAGGUAACCUGCCUUGUAGCGGGGGAUAACUAUUGGAAACGAUAGCUAAUACCGCAUAACAAUGGAUGACACAUGUCAUUUAUUUGAAAGGGGCAAUUGCUCCACUACAAGAUGGACCUGCGUUGUAUUAGCUAGUAGGUGAGGUAAUGGCUCACCUAGGCGACGAUACAUAGCCGACCUGAGAGGGUGAUCGGCCACACUGGGACUGAGACACGGCCCAGACUCCUACGGGAGGCAGCAGUAGGGAAUCUUCGGCAAUGGGGGCAACCCUGACCGAGCAACGCCGCGUGAGUGAAGAAGGUUUUCGGAUCGUAAAGCUCUGUUGUAAGUCAAGAACGGGUGUGAGAGUGGAAAGUUCACACUGUGACGGUAGCUUACCAGAAAGGGACGGCUAACUACGUGCCAGCAGCCGCGGUAAUACGUAGGUCCCGAGCGUUGUCCGGAUUUAUUGGGCGUAAAGCGAGCGCAGGCGGUUUGAUAAGUCUGAAGUUAAAGGCUGUGGCUCAACCAUAGUUCGCUUUGGAAACUGUCAAACUUGAGUGCAGAAGGGGAGAGUGGAAUUCCAUGUGUAGCGGUGAAAUGCGUAGAUAUAUGGAGGAACACCGGUGGCGAAAGCGGCUCUCUGGUCUGUAACUGACGCUGAGGCUCGAAAGCGUGGGGAGCGAACAGGAUUAGAUACCCUGGUAGUCCACGCCGUAAACGAUGAGUGCCAGGUGUUGGAUCCUUUCCGGGAUUCAGUGCCGCAGCUAACGCAUUAAGCACUCCGCCUGGGGAGUACGACCGCAAGGUUGAAACUCAAAGGAAUUGACGGGGGCCCGCACAAGCGGUGGAGCAUGUGGUUUAAUUCGAAGCAACGCGAAGAACCUUACCAGGUCUUGACAUCCCGAUGCUAUUUCUAGAGAUAGAAAGUUACUUCGGUACAUCGGUGACAGGUGGUGCAUGGUUGUCGUCAGCUCGUGUCGUGAGAUGUUGGGUUAAGUCCCGCAACGAGCGCAACCCCUAUUGUUAGUUGCCAUCAUUCAGUUGGGCACUCUAGCGAGACUGCCGGUAAUAAACCGGAGGAAGGUGGGGAUGACGUCAAAUCAUCAUGCCCCUUAUGACCUGGGCUACACACGUGCUACAAUGAUUGGUACAACGAGUUGCGAGUCGGUGACGGCGAGCUAAUCUCUUAAAGCCAAUCUCAGUUCGGAUUGUAGGCUGCAACUCGCCUACAUGAAGUCGGAAUCGCUAGUAAUCGCGGAUCAGCACGCCGCGGUGAAUACGUUCCCGGGCCU